rnacentral:rRNA from 1 species
AUCGACGGGAUGGUUUGGCACCUCGAUGUCGGCUCGUCGCAUCCUGGGGCUGGAGUCGGUCCCAAGGGUUGGGCUGUUCGCCCAUUAAAGCGGUACGCGAGCUGGGUUUAGAACGUCGUGAGACAGUUCGGUCCCUAUCCGCUGUGCGCGUAGGAGUCUUGAGAAGGGCUGUCCCUAGUACGAGAGGACCGGGACGGACGAACCUCUGGUGUGCCAGUUGUUCUGCCAAGGGCAUGGCUGGUUGGCUACGUUCGGGAGGGAUAACCGCUGAAAGCAUCUAAGCGGGAAGCCUGCUUCGAGAUGAGGACUCCCACCCACUUGAUGGGGUAAGGCUCCCAGUAGACGACUGGGUUGAUAGGCCAGAUCUGGAAGCCCGGUAACGGGUGGAGGUGACUGGUACUAAUAGGCCGAGGGCUUGUCCUCAGUUG